AGCUUUAUAGUCAAUAAUGAUAUUAGACUGCAAUUCUAAAGGAAUAAUUAAAAUUAUUAAGGCUU
rnacentral:tRNA from 1 species